GGGACAUUGUUUCAGCCUGCGACUUGAGGGUUAUGAGCUGGGGAAGAGACAGUUAAAGCUUCCACGCACCAGCAAGAUGAGUUGUACCACACAGCGCCCAUGCCAAGGUCAGCAGUCUGAAUGGAGCUGAGACACUUACUGCCCGUGCCAAGCAGUGCCAAGCACCUCUGGAAGCCCCUGCCUAGGACCCCCAAAUUUAGAUUCAUGCUGCAGUCUGGAGAGUGUUUUGACGGCUGCCGGGCUACAGGGAAAAGCGCACUGCACACUGCCUCUGAGAUGAGACAGAGCUCUCCAGGCUGGGAGUCUGGGGAAGCCGGACCUGGGUAGCGCUGCUCAGGUUCCAGGGUGGCACUCCGGUUUCAUGUUUAAAUGACAAGCCCACCAAGCUAUACAGCCACCCUUGAAGUGAACACCAUAAAACCUGAACACAUCAUACUCCCUGCAUCAAGGACAAGUCAAAGUUACAGUCCCAGGCCCUGGGUCCCAGGGAAAAGCGGAGCCCUGUUCAGCAUUGGUCACCAGGUUGCAGGGGCAUCACUUCCUUUAUCCAGCAUCCUGCCUCUGCACCAUGUGAAGAAACCAACCCACUUUCCAAUGGCAAACCCAAGUUCAUGCAGACCAUAUUCUCCAACGUCUGUACUUCCCCUACCAGUUGGAUCUGUGUUCUUUUGCAGUUCUGGGGACUUUUCAAGACUCUACUGACUAAAUCUGCAAAGAGUGCCGAUAAUGCAACUCUUAAGCUGGCUUUCUGAGCUAUCAUGAUGUCUUUCCCUCUCUUUGUGCCCAAGACCGUGUGCUCUCUUGCCUUUGAAGAUCCAUGAUGUUUGAAACUCAUGAGACCCAAGGCAGAAGUGUCCAGACAACUAGGAGCUAAGUCAAGCUGCUUGCAUUCGCAAGCCAGGACUUGACUGGAGGGAAUACAAUAGAGGUGCAGACACUUCUGUGCUAACCUGUGAGUGCCUUUGGACCAUGAAAAUAAUGUGUCUGUGGGAAAGACAAUGGGUGGUUGCUUGUUGAUGCCUCCUGGGGUGCUGUUUGAUGAGCUCUGAAAUACGCACUCUGCUCACACACAGGGUCACAGAAGGCACGGGGAUCUUAAGUGCACUCGUUCUAGGGUCAUCAGUGAGCUGACACUAUGUGCAGAUGAGCCCCUCUGCUUCUCCUGGAAUCAUCAUUAGAUGGCCAGGAAGGAUCUCCGUGUUGGACUCCUCCAUUCUGAUACAUCCUGUCUUCAGGGAUAGAAAAUGUUCCUGGGGGAACACGGGAGCUAAAGAAACCUCAGCUUUUCUCGAGUGUCUGGAUUAUUCUGAACUACAUGGAUUAUGUUCAAGCCCAGGAUGAGUGGCUCAAAGCGUGGCUGUGAGUGAGUGAGACGAAGAAAAAUUGGGAUCAUAUUUUAUUCAACCAAGAGAAAUGGAAUCCAGCAUAGUAGAUUUCAUGUUCUUGGGAAAUAUGUCCUGUCAAUGGUGUUAUUGAGAAGAUAGGCAGAGAACACGUUCUCCCAGACAAGGAAGAGAAGAAGAUGUGGCCUUGGCUUUGUGAGCUGUGGCAGGGAGGGACCUAGCAUGGGAGCAAAGGUCUCUGGAAGCUUCCAGACAAACAAGUGUGGGUGUCGUUUGUCAGCUCCCUGAGAGUGGGUAUCGCAGAAGACUUCCUGUGUUUUCUGUGGAUAAAUACACAAAACUAUGCAUUACUGCAACACAAGCAGGCUUUAUACAUUUCUUUGGUUUUAACAAUUGCAUUAGAAACUUUGCUCUCCCCUGAAUCCUAAGAGGUGUGUUGUUGUCGUGGUUGUUUGUUUUUGCUUUUUUUUUUUUUUUCAAAUAGAGACAAAUACAGGAGAGAAGGAAGCGCA
rnacentral:lncRNA from 1 species